rnacentral:rRNA from 1 species
GAUGAACGCUGGCGGCGUGCUUAACACAUGCAAGUCGAACGGUGAAGCAGGAGCUUGCUCUUGUGGAUCAGUGGCGAACGGGUGAGUAACACGUGAGCAACCUGCCCCUGACUCUGGGAUAAGCGCUGGAAACGGCGUCUAAUACUGGAUAUGUGAUGUGACCGCAUGGUCUGCAUCUGGAAAGAAUUUCGGUUGGGGAUGGGCUCGCGGCCUAUCAGCUUGUUGGUGAGGUAAUGGCUCACCAAGGCGUCGACGGGUAGCCGGCCUGAGAGGGUGACCGGCCACACUGGGGCUGAGACACGGCCCAGACUCCUACGGGAGGCAGCAGUGGGGAAUAUUGCACAAUGGGCGGAAGCCUGAUGCAGCAACGCCGCGUGAGGGAUGACGGCCUUCGGGUUGUAAACCUCUUUUAGCAGGGAAGAAGCGAAAGUGACGGUACCUGCAGGAAAAGCACCGGCUAACUACGUGCCAGCAGCCGCCGUAA